UACGUAGGGUCCGAGCGUUGUCCGGAUUUAUUGGGUUUAAAGGGUGCGUAGGCGGUCCUAUAAGUCAGUGCUGAAAUAUCCCGGCUUAACCGGGAGGGUGGCAUUGAUACUGUUGGACUUGAGUAAAGUUGAGGUUGGCGGAAUUGACGGUGUAGCGGUGAAAUGCGCAGAUAUCAGGAGGAACACCGGUGGCGAAGGCGGGUCUCUGGGCCGAUACUGACGCUGAGGAGCGAAAGCGUGGGGAGCGAACAGG
rnacentral:rRNA from 1 species